ACGGAAGGCAGCAGUGGGGAAUAUUGGGCAAUGGGCGAAAGCCUGACCCAGCAAUGCCGCGUGAAGGAAGAAGGUCUUCGGAUUGUAAACUUCUUUUAUGAGGGACGAAGGAUUUGACGGUACCUCAUGAAUAAGCCACGGCUAACUACGUGCCAGCAGCCGCGGUAAUGCGUAGGUGGCAAGCGUUAUCCGGAUUUACUGGGUGUAAAGGGCGCGUAGGCGGGGAAGCAAGUCAGAUGUGAAAUCUAUGGGCUUAACUCAUAGACUGCAUUUGAAACCGUUUCUCUUGAGUGCUGGAGAGGUAGAUGGAAUUCCUAGUGUAGCGGUGAAAUGCGUAGAUAUUAGGAAGAACACCAGUGGCGAAGGCGAUCUACUGGACAGUAACUGACGCUGAGGCGCGAAAGCGUGGGGAGCAAACAGGAUUAGAUACCCUGGUA
rnacentral:rRNA from 1 species